CUCACCCCCCUGUAAGUCAUGUGUUUCUCCUACCAGAUCAAAACAAUUGUCAAUUUUUGGAGUACAGUUGGGUAUCAGAUCCGUUCAUGAUUGAAAUCGUGGUCCCCUAAACAUGUGAUUUGUGAAAUGUUUAGGAACGAAUUGUUUGUGGAUCUGCAAAGGGGGAUUCAAUUAAUUUUCAGUUGUAGAAAAGGGAGAAGGGGGAUUCAAUUAAUUUUCCUCCUCAAGAUCAAAGAAACAAAAUCUUUGUGGCGAUGAUAGAAGGGGUUCACGACUUCACGUUAAUACACAGACUAUUGGUAAGGGCAUUAAAACAUAUAUCUGGUGUGAAAUGGCCGUACAUGCUUGAUUAGAAUAUUUUCAAGUGUUGUAGGUGUACGGCUGUGGGGAAACAUUUUCAUGGUCUAAUUUUCUAAUUAAUGUAUGCACGAGACAUGAAUCUUGGAUUCUAAACUUUUUCCUCGAUGUUUGGGCUUCCUCUAACUCUUCGUAUAUUGCACACAACAGAACACAUAGAUUCAUGUCUUCCAUGCUUGCUGUCUUGUAACAAACAGAUGUUGGGAUGGAUACUAAUUUUCUAAAUGAUUUGAACUCGUGUUGUUUUCUAUUCUACUGUCAUUGGUUCAUCAUUCUGAACCAUUCAAUUGUUGGAACUCCGGCAUAUAUUGGUCCUGAAGUUAUGCUGAAGAGAGAAUAUGACGCAAUCUACGAUCCAUCCUAUUUUGUGCUUUAAACGGUCUGCUGCAUACUCUGCCAUCUGCUGCAUAACUUAAUUCUGUUUGCUUGGCCAUAAAAGCCUUAUUUGAUUUCUGAAUCUUCCAUUAACCUUUCGUUGUCAUGAGUGGUGAAUGGUCUUGAGGAGUAACCAUUUAGAUACUGUAUGUUUUUUUUGCUCAAACACGAUCUCGAGAUUGAUAAUAGCAGAGAGAUAAUAUACGCCUUAUAAUCUUGUAACUAUAGAAAAAAGUAUAGAUAACCCCCAGAAGUAUCCCGUUUGGAUCACAUAACCCCCCCCCAUGUUUAAAACCGAGUUCUUAAUCCCCUGAACUAUUCUAAACCAGACAUAUCACCCCCUGGAACCCACUUAAGUAGUUUGGGACGGUGGUUUUGCAUAUGUGGUGCCUGGGCUGGGCCCAUCGACCGGCCACGUCGGACUGGGCCUGCUGGGUGCGGUCUAAAUGACGCCCUCGAGCAGGUUCGACCCAGACUCGGCCUCUUCGCCUCCCAAUUUAGCGUGAGCUUUUUAAUUUUUCAGCAGUGUACUACAGCAAAUUGUUGAUCAUUAUACUGUUCUGUAUGCAAUGCUAUGUUAAAGAAGGAAACUUUUGACAACAAAUAUUUUAUGACUGUACUAUUCUGUAUGGAAUGGUGUGUUGCAAGAUAUUUUAUCAGAAGUGUACAUAUUAUUGGCAUCAAAUUCAGAAAUAGACAGCAAAUUUCCAUAGCAUUGAAGAUCUUAAAUUCACACAAUAAGUUCCAUGGAAUACUCAGGUUCAACCUGAUAAAAGCUAUAGGUCUUUGACAUGCAAAACUCCACAAACGACACUUAAUUGUCAAGGAAUUUGAUGUUUCACAUCAAAUAAAAGCACACACUUCUAUCUGGUGUUACACAUCAACUACGUGACAUUGAAAAACAAUCUGGGCAUUCACUUUUUCCCAGUGAGAAGCCAUUCCAGUCUGUUAUUUCUUUGCACUUGCAUCUGCUGUGAGCUUGAAGAAGCCCUGUUGUGAAUGCCCAGAUUGUAUGUGCAUCUGCUGUGAGCUUGAAGAAGCACUUGCAUCAACUACGUAACUGUAUGUGCAGAAGUAGUUGUGGUGUUCCUUCCACCUUAUGAAUUAGUCUGUGAAGAGGUGAAUAGUCAGGAGCCCAAUGGAGCCAAACAAACAUUAUGUUCAGGCUACAGAUUAUAUUCAUACUACAGCUUGAGUCUGAAUUUGUAUUGAUACACGAAAAUGUCAUGUGUGCCAAGAAAAGUAUGUUAGCUGUACAAUCAAUUUUGGUGUGCAUUUCUUAUUUAUUUUUGAGUCGGACGUGUGCAUUUCUAAUUAGAAGUAGAAGAAGAAAGAUGUGACACGGACUUCCUAAGAUCACAUACACAUAGCUGAAUAGUAUAAUUAGAAUAAUAAUAAUAAAAUUCAAAAAGCUUAUUUAUUUUGGCUACAAAUUUGCUGGAGUGUUAUAGAUGUGCAUACCAUUUCGUGAAGGAAUAACAUAAAUGGUGGUCGGGACAAACGAAAAUUGAUCAUUUUAAAAGCUUCUUGGAGCAUCGAUUUUGUUUAAUAUUGUGCAAAGCACCACAAAUAUUUUUUCUUCAUGAAAUUUUGCACAUAACCAAAAAAAUGUAAUUUUGUUGGGGAGCAGGAUUGCACAUGUGAUGUAAGAUAAAGAUAUAAGUACUGUUAGACAUGAAACCUACUCGCGCACAUGUCAAUCUCAACAUGCAUCUUGUUGUUCCGUGCAACGCACGGGCAUCUUACUAGUGUUAUCCUAAAAUUGGCUAACUGUGGCUCAUAUUGUUUUCCCCAGGUAGCUCAUGGUGAGUGAUGCGUGAGCCGUCUCGAUCCUUUUGCUAUGUUAUUAUAUUUUAGCCAUGAAGGAUUUACUGCUUGUCAGUUCGUAGUGGUUCCGGCUGUUUGCUGAACUUCUGUUCUUGCUUGUGCUAUUUUUUUUACUGUUUAGAUGGCUCAAUUUACUUCCAAUUUUACUCUUGAGUUUUCCCAUGCAUGCAUACUCUGUUAAUUUAUUCCGAGUGCCCAUAGUUCCCUCUCUAGCAGCAUCACCUGUGCUCUUGUCUCACCCAUAACAACAAUUUACUAGUAGUAUGUCUCUUGGCAUGGGUGCUAGCUUAGGUCCCUUCUACUACUACUCCACUUAGUAACUUGUCU
rnacentral:lncRNA from 1 species